rnacentral:RNase_P_RNA from 1 species
CGAGUAAGCCAGGCAAUCGCUGCUAAACUUUGUUUAGGAGAGGAAAGUCCGAGCUCCACAGGGCAGGGUGCUGGUUAACGGCCAGUCGAGGUGACUCGAAGGAAAGUGCAACAGAGAUAUACCGCCUAAGUUUUUACCAGAGCUUAUGGCAAGGGUGGAAAGGUGAGGUAAGAGCUCACCAGCAUAUAGGUGACUAUAUGGCUAUGUAAACCCCACUUGGAGCAAGACCGAAUAGAGAAGCAUUAUGGGGUAGCCCGUCCCGCUUCCGGGUGCGUCGCUUGAACAUGCUGGUAACAGUAUGUCUAGAUAGAUGAUUGCUUAAUACAGAACUCGGCUUAUAGACUUAUCUCGUUAA